CUAGAGACGGCAGUCGGUGAAUGUACAUCAUAGUCAUCGCUCCAACUGGUAUCUGAUCCGAAUUCUUCAAGCUCAGUAGAAGCGAAAGGCGACUGGAAGAAUGUUUGGAUGGGGACUGACGUUUUUCCCAAGAGACGCGAUGACUUCGUGGAAUUCGUACCAGGGAUUCUGAGUGUCUCAUUUCGUAGAAUUUCUGUUCUGCGAAGAGACGGGGGCAAAUUACUGUAUACAAAAGUUCUUGAACCGUGCGCUGUAUUUAUGGCUUUUAUAUGAAUGCGGAGUUCUCUGUAGGGAAUUAGCGAGUAGUCGUCUUGGUUCCAGGACACUGGAGUAACAGGCGCGCGUGCGGCUAUGUUUGAAAAAAAUCAAGUAUGUGUAUCAUAACGUAGCACAAACAGCAGAAGUCAGUGAAUCUUUGAUUUACUCGGAAAAAUAUUACUGAAAAACUUGUCUCUCUUCUUACAUUUUAUAGUUGUAAUACAUUUCCUGGAAAGCGUUGAGAACUGAAUCAGCGUCAUCUUGCGUCUCUGUUAGUGACAAACAAGUAACGAGCAGACCGAGUGCCGUUCGGAUGCAGAAUAUUU